CGGGUCGUAAAGCUCUGUGUUAAGGAAGAACAAGUACCGUUCGAAUAGGGCGGUACCUUGACGGUACCGUAACCAGAAAAGCCACGGCUAACUACGUGCCAGCAGCCGCGGUAAUACGUAGGUGGCAAGCGUUGUCCGGAAUUAUUGGGCGUAAAGCGCGCGCAGGCGGUUCCUUAAGUCUGAUGUGAAAGCCCACGGCUCAACCGUGGAGGGUCAUUGGAAACUGGGGGAACUUGAGUGCAGAAGAGGAAAGCGGAAUUCCACGUGUAGCGGUGAAAUGCGUAGAGAUGUGGAGGAACACCAGUGGCGAAGGCGGCUUUCUGGUCUGUAACUGACGCUGAGGCGCGAAAGCGUGGGGAGCAAACAGGAUUAGAUACCCUGGUAGUCCACGCCGUAAACGAUGAGUGCUAAGUGUUAGGGGGUUUCCGCCCCUUAGUGCUGCAGCUAACGCAUUAAGCACUCCGCCUGAGGAGUACGGUCGCAAGGCUA
rnacentral:rRNA from 1 species